rnacentral:misc_RNA from 1 species
GAUGAAGAACGUAGCGAAAUGCGAUAAGUAAUGUGAAUUGCAGAAUUCAGUGAAUCAUCGAAUCUUUGAACGCACAUUGCGCCCGCCAGUAUUCUGGCGGGCAUGCCUGUUCGAGCGUCAUUACAACCCUCAGGCCCCCGGGCCUGGCGUUGGGGAUCGGCGGAGCCCCCCGUGGGCACACGCCGUCCCCCAAAUACAGUGGCGGUCCCGCCGCAGCUUCCAUCGCGUAGUAGCUAACACCUCGCGACUGGAGAGCGGCGCGGCCACGCCGUAAAACACCCAACUCUUCUGAAAUGUUGACCUCGGAUCAGGUAGGAAUACCCGCUGAACUUAAGCAUAUCAAUAGCGGAGGA